rnacentral:rRNA from 1 species
AACGAACGCUGGCGGCAUGCCUAACACAUGCAAGUCGAACGAGACCUUCGGGUCUAGUGGCGCACGGGUGAGUAACGCGUGGGAAUCUGCCCUUGGGUUCGGAAUAACCCAGAGAAAUUUGAGAUAAUACCGGAUGAUGUCGCAAGACCAAAGAUUUAUCGCCCAAGGAUGGGCCCGCGUAGGAUUAGCUCGUUGGUGAGGUAAAAGCUCACCAAGGCGACGAUCCUUAGCUGGUCUGAGAGGAUGAUCAGCCACACGGGGACUGAGACACGGCCCAGACUCCUACGGGAGGCAGCAGUGGGGAAUAUUGGACAAUGGGCGAAAGCCUGAUCCAGCAAUGCCGCGUGAGUGAUGAAGGCCUUAGGGUUGUAAAGCUCUUUUACCCGGGAUGAUAAUGACAGUACCGGGAGAAUAAGCUCCGGCUAACUCCAUGCCAGCAGCCGCCGUAAGAC